rnacentral:lncRNA from 1 species
UCUAUAUAUAUAUAGACACACACACACAUAUCUUCUUUAUCUAUCUAUACUACUUUUUUUGAUAACCGAAAAAUCUGUCUGUGACUCGCUCUUUGGAUCAAUCACAACCUUCUACACUCGGUGGAUAAUGGGUUCACCCCUCUACCCUUCUCCAUUUAAAUACAAGGCUUUAUUUUGUGUGGUGUGGGGCUUGAACCUGUG